GGCAGGGUUGCACAAGACAGCCAGGCCAAUCACAUACUCUCGGAAGUCGAUGCUGCCGUCAUGGUUCUGUGAAAGGAUGGGAGAAAUUAAUUAGAAGGGCCACUAGUGGAAUUACUAUUAAUCCUACUACAAGGUGAAAUUCAGGCUUAAUCUGAAGUAAACCAGGAGCAACUGAAGCAAACUUGGGCAACUUUAAUAGCCCUGGGGGACAUCAAUCACCCCAGAAGAUCUUGCACUUCUAAGCCAAUGAAAAUAAAGCAUAACUAGUAUAAUACACCUUAGGAGGCAUUUCCUGAUGGCAAUAUAAAGGAAGAAAUUGAUCAUUGUAA